rnacentral:rRNA from 1 species
AGAGUUUGAUCAUGGCUCAGAUUGAACGCUGGCGGCAGGCUUAACACAUGCAAGUCGAACGGUAACAGAACUAGCUUGCUAGUUGCUGACGAGUGGCGGACGGGUGAGUAACGCGUAGGAAUCUACCGAAUAGUGGGGGACAACAGUUGGAAACGGCUGCUAAUACCGCAUACGCCCUACGGGGGAAAGGAGGGGAUCUUCGGACCUUUCGCUAUUUGAUGAGCCUGCGUGAGAUUAGUUAGUUGGUGGGGUAAUGGCUCACUAAGGCGACGAUCUCUAGCUGGUCUGAGAGGAUGAUCAGCCACACUGGGACUGAGACACGGCCCAGACUCCUACGGGAGGCAGCAGUGGGGAAUAUUGCACAAUGGGGGAAACCCUGAUGCAGCCAUGCCGCGUGUGUGAAGAAGGCCUUCGGGUUGUAAAGCACUUUCAGUUGUGAGGAAAGGUUAAGGGUUAAUAACCCUUAG